rnacentral:lncRNA from 1 species
UCGCCCAUCCCUAAUGGCCAGUGAAUCUACGGUCAGGACGGGGUCAAGAAGGGGGAAAGGACCGGAACGACUGGAGUACACUAAUACAAAAGGAGAAAGUAUGGAGAGCCUUAAAUUGAAGAAUGGGGCAACUCACCGGAAGAGAAGGAAGAACGGCUCCGAGAGCGUCAAAGGAGGAGCAAGCGAACAGUCCGACGGCAAUGACGGCAGCGCAAAGGAGAAACUCGAAG